rnacentral:rRNA from 1 species
GACGAACGCUGGCGGCGUGCUCAACACAUGCAAGUCGAACGGAAAGGCCCUGCUUUUGUGGGGUGCUCGAGUGGCGAACGGGUGAGUAACACGUGAGUAACCUGCCCUUGACUUUGGGAUAACUUCAGGAAACUGGGGCUAAUACCGGAUAGGAGCUCCUGCUGCAUGGUGGGGGUUGGAAAGUUUCGGCGGUUGGGGAUGGACUCGCGGCUUAUCAGCUUGUUGGUGGGGUAGUGGCUUACCAAGGCUUUGACGGGUAGCCGGCCUGAGAGGGUGACCGGCCACAUUGGGACUGGGAUACGGCCCAGACUCCUACGGGAGGCAGCAGUGGGGAAUAUUGCACAAUGGGCGGAAGCCUGAUGCAGCAACGCCGCGUGCGGAAUGACGGCCUUCGGUUUGUAAACCGCUUUCGCCUGUGACGAAGCGUGAGUGACGGUAAUGGGUAAAGAAGCACCGGCUAACUACGUG